CCUGACUUCCGGAAGUCACUUAAGGUAUAAAUAUGGCUGCGUCGGCGCGUCUCUGUCUUUUUAGGCGCUGCUUUCGUGCUCCUCUGGCUCUCGAGCCAAUCCGUGAUUCCAAGUACCUUGUUGACGGAGGAAAGAAAAGGAUCUGUACAGACACUGAAGAUAUGCAUUAUACAAAGAUUUGAAGUAUAUGCAUUAUGGUGAAAUUUUGUAUUAGUACCUCAUCCAUUAGAAGCUAGAUAGGCAUUUCUGCUUGCUUAUUCUGUCUGAUAAAUAUUUUUUGGUAGGUUAUAGCUUUGAGAAACUUAAGGUUCUCCUUGAGGUCCAACGUCCGUGCAGUGUUUAGGGGGGCAUACAGGACCUUAGUAUUGUAGAUACAAGCUUAUCUUUUGUUCCCACAUUCUCUUUAAGAUCAUAAGUUCAAAUCCACACUGGGUUAUAGGAUCUAGUUUUAAUCUAUGAAUGUUUGUGAUAUACCUAAUAAAUCUCAAUUAAAGCUUUUCAAUGA